GCCUAAAUCCCCUAAAGGCACCAGGUCCUAUCUGAUAUUGGAAGCUAAAAAGGGUCAGCUCCAGUCAGUACUCAGAUAGGAGCCUGCCUGUGAAUACCAGGUACUGUAGGCU
rnacentral:rRNA from 1 species